UGGGGAAUAUUGGACAAUGGGCGCAAGCCUGAUCCAGCCAUGCCGCGUGAGUGAUGAAGGCCUUAGGGUUGUAAAGCUCUUUUGGCGGGGACGAUAAUGACGGUACCCGCAGCAUAAGUCCCGGCUAACUUCGUGCCAGUAGCCGCGGUAAUACGAAGGGGACUAGCGUUGUUCGGAAUCACUGGGCGUAAAGCGCACGUAGGCGGAUAGGUCAGUCAGGGGUGAAAUCCCGGGGCUCAACCUCGGAACUGCCUUUGAUACAGCAUGUCUUGAGUCCGAUAGAGGUGGGUGGAAUUCCUCGUUUAGAGGUGAAAUUCGUAGAUAUUAGGAAGAACACCGGUGGCGAAGGCGGCCCACUGGAUCGGUACUGACGCUGAGGUGCGAAAGCGUGGGGAGCAAAC
rnacentral:rRNA from 1 species